GAGUUAAUGUCAGACACGGGAUCAGGAUGCUCAUGUGGGAGACAUGUGCUGUGCUCUCAAUCACUCUCAGCUUACUUUGCCGAAACAGCCUGCAAGACAUUGGGAAUCAAACGAUUGCUGAAAUACCAGUUGAAGAGGGAAAGGAUGUGAAAUUAUCCUGCACCUUAAAGAAAAUCAGUGAUGCCACCGAUCUUCACUGGUACAGACAAGCUUCCAGAAACGCUCCUGUCUACAUACUUUACUCUGUUGCAGGGAAGGAUUAUAAGAGCCCUGACUUCCAAGAUCGAUUUUCCUCCAAUGUCGAUAAAACGAGCGAAGAUUUCAAACUGAGUAUUGCCAACGUCCUGAUCAGGGACAGUGCCGUGUAUUACUGCGCCAAGAGGCCCACACUGCUGCCGAGCUAUGGCGACUCCGUACAAAAACUCCAAAUGGUUGUUUUGCUGCUGAAACGCCAGUGGGCGCCAUUGCAUAAAACUGACUUUAUAUCUGUUUAA